rnacentral:rRNA from 1 species
GAUGAACGCUGGCGGCGUGCCUAAUACAUGCAAGUCGAACGCAUUGUGGUUGAAAUGAUAUGAAGAACUUGUUCAGAUUUGAUUUUCAACAUUGCAAUGAGUGGCGAACGGGUGAGUAACACGUGGGAAACCUACCUCUUAGCAGGGGAUAACAUUUGGAAACAAAUGCUAAUACCGUAUAAUAAUUAAAACCGCAUGGUUUUAGUUUAAAAGAUGGUCUUGCUAUCACUAAGAGAUGGUCCCGCGGUGUAUUAGUUAGUUGGUGAGGUAAUGGCUCACCAAGACAAUGAUACAUAGCCCGAGUUGAGAGACUGACCGGCCACAAUGGGGACCUGAGACCACGGCCCAUACUCCUACGGGAGCAGCAGUAGGGAAU